GGGUAACCUGCCUGUAAGACUGGGAUAACUCCGGGAAACCGGGGCUAAUACCGGAUGGUUGUCUGAACCGCAUGGUUCAGACAUAAAAGGUGGCUUCGGCUACCACUUACAGAUGGACCCGCGGCGCAUUAGCUAGUUGGUGAGGUAACGGCUCACCAAGGCGACGAUGCGUAGCCGACCUGAGAGGGUGAUCGGCCACACUGGGACUGAGACACGGCCCAGACUCCUACGGGAGGCAGCAGUAGGGAAUCUUCCGCAAUGGACGAAAGUCUGACGGAGCAACGCCGCGUGAGUGAUGAAGGUUUUCGGAUCGUAAAGCUCUGUUGUUAGGGAAGAACAAGUGCCGUUCAAAUAGGGCGGCACCUUGACGGUACCUAACCAGAAAGCCACGGCUAACUACGUGCCAGCAGCCGCGGUAAUACGUAGGUGGCAAGCGUUGUCCGGAAUUAUUGGGCGUAAAGGGCUCGCAGGCGGUUUCUUAAGUCUGAUGUGAAAGCCCCCGGCUCAACCGGGGAGGGUCAUUGGAAACUGGGGAACUUGAGUGCAGAAGAGGAGAGUGGAAUUCCACGUGUAGCGGUGAAAUGCGUAGAGAUGUGGAGGAACACCAGUGGCGAAGGCGACUCUCUGGUCUGUAACUGACGCUGAGGAGCGAAAGCGUGGGGAGCGAACAGGAUUAGAUACCCUGGUAGUCCACGCCGUAAACGAUGAGUGCUAAGUGUUAGGGGGUUUCCGCCCCUUAGUGCUGCAGCUAACGCAUUAAGCACUCCGCCUGGGGAGUACGGUCGCAAGACUGAAACUCAAAGGAAUUGACGGGGGCCCGCACAAGCGGUGGAGCAUGUGGUUUAAUUCGAAGCAACGCGAAGAACCUUACCAGGUCUUGACAUCCUCUGACAAUCCUAGAGAUAGGACGUCCCCUUCGGGGGCAGAGUGACAGGUGGUGCAUGGUUGUCGUCAGCUCGUGUCGUGAGAUGUUGGGUUAAGUCCCGCAACGAGCGCAACCCUUGAUCUUAGUUGCCAGCAUUCAGUUGGGCACUCUAAGGUGACUGCCGGUGACAAACCGGAGGAAGGUGGGGAUGACGUCAAAUCAUCAUGCCCCUUAUGACCUGGGCUACACACGUGCUACAAUGGACAGAACAAAGGGCAGCGAAACCGCGAGGUUAAGCCAAUCCCACAAAUCUGUUCUCAGUUCGGAUCGCAGUCUGCAAACUCG
rnacentral:rRNA from 1 species